GCUGAUGUAGCUCAGUGGUAGAGCACUCCCUUGGUAAGGGAGAGGUCGAGAGUUCAAUCCUCUCCAUCAGCACCA
rnacentral:tRNA from 2 species